rnacentral:rRNA from 1 species
AGAGUUUGAUCCUGGCUCAGAACGUACGCUGGCGGCACGCCUAAUACAUGCAAGUCGAACGAAGUAGCAAUACUUAGUGGCAGACGGGUGAGUAACAUGUAGGUAUCUACCCUUUGGCCUGGAAUAACACGAGGAAACUUGUGCUAAUACCGGAUAAGUCUUUACGGAGAAAGCUUUAUGCACCAUUGGAUGAGCCUGCACUUGAUUAGUUUGUUGGUGGGGUAAUGGCCUACCAAGACAAUGAUCAAUAGCUGAUUUGAGAGGAUGAUCAGCCACAUUGGGACUGAGACACGGCCCAAACUCCUACGGGAGGCAGCAGUAGGGAAUCUUGCACAAUGGAGGAAACUCUGAUGCAGCGAUGCCGCGUGAGUGAAGAAGGCCUUUGGGUUGUAAAGCUCUUUCGUCGGGGAAGAAAAUGACUGUACCCGAAUAAGAAGGUCCGGCUAACUUCGUGCCAGCAGCCGCGGUAAUACGAAGGGACCUAGCGUAGUUCGGAAUUACUGGGCUUAAAGAGUUCGUAGGUGGUUAAAAAAGUUGGUGGUGAAAUCCCAGAGCUUAACUCUGGAACUGCCAUCAAAACUUUUUAGCUAGAGUAUGAUAGAGGAAAGCAGAAUUUCUAGUGUAGAGGUGAAAUUCGUAGAUAUUAGAAAGAAUACCGAUUGCGAAGGCAGCUUUCUGGAUCAUUACUGACACUGAGGAACGAAAGCAUGGGUAGCGAAGAGGAUUAGAUACCCUCGUAGUCCAUGCCGUAAACGAUGUGUGUUAGACGUUGGAAAUUUAUUUUCAGUGUCGCAGCGAAAGCGAUAAACACACCGCCUGGGGAGUACGACCGCAAGGUUAAAACUCAAAUGAAUUGACGGGGACCCGCACAAGUAGUGGAGCAUGUGGUUUAAUUCGAAGAUACGCGCAGAACCUUACCAACACUUGACAUGUUCGUCGCGACUCUAAGAGAUUAGAGUUUUCGGUUCGGCCGGACGAAACACAGGUGCUGCAUGGCUGUCGUCAGCUCGUGUCGUGAGAUGUUGGGUUAAGUCCCGCAACGAGCGCAACCCUUACUUUUAGUUGCCAUCAUUUAGUUGGGCACUCUGAAAGAACUGCCAGUGAUAAGCUGGAGGAAGGUGGGGAUGACGUCAAGUCCUCAUGGCCCUUAUGUGUUGGGCUACACACGUGCUACAAUGGUAUCUACAACAGGAAGCAAGAUGGCAACAUUAAGCAAAUCCCAAAAAGAUACCUCAGUUCGGAUUGCACUCUGCAACUCGAGUGCAUGAAGCUGGAAUUACUAGUAAUCGUGGAUCAGCGUGCCACGGUGAAUACGUUCCCGGGUCUUGUACACACCGCCCGUCACACCAUGGGAGUUGGUUCUACCUUAAGGCAAGGUUUCAAACCCUUGACCACGGUAUAGUCAGCGACUGGGGUGAAGUCGUAACAAGGUAACC